UUCAGGAAGGAUCCUGAGGACCUGGGUGUUUCUCCGUCAAGGAUAAACCAAGUGAAGUGAGCCGAUUAACAGGCAAAACGCUUGCUGCAAGGUUGGGGGCAGUAGGCGCCAGGCACAGGCAGAAAGGGAAAGAAAAGCCAGAGGGAGGGAGCUCCACCGUUCUUCUCGAGGUAUAUAUGAGUGGAUUCAAGUGAUCAGCAUGCCCCAUUUCCAGAAUAUUUCUGCAAUGAUUCAGGAGGAGGAAACAAGAAAAACGCAGGCAACAUACCACGUAUCCAAGUAUUUAAGAGAUGUCUUGGCACACCGUCAACAAUGGUGCCUUAUUGAGACUGAGGGCCUUGCCUAGGGUGGGGUGAAGGAGAAGGAUCUUUACCUAUGCAAGGCCACACCUUGAAGAGUGGGAGAGGUAACUGUUUUCCUUAUUAAACAUAAAUAAACCCAGAGUGAAGUAAAAUGAGAAAACAAGUUGUAAGCAAACAAAAAAACAAGAGAAAACCUCAGAAAAACACCUAAAUGAUAGAGGUAAGUAAUCUACCUGAUCAAGAAUUCAAAGUAAUGGUCAUAAAGAUGUUCAUUAAACAAGAGGAAAAAAUCGGAUGAACUGAGAACUUGAACAGAGUGAUAGAAUACACAAGAAAUUACGAAACCACAGUGACAGAGCAGAAAAAUAGAAGAAUAAAAUAUACUGGAGGUGUUCACACUGAAUGAAGGAGAAGAAGAGAUUAGUGAACUGGAAGACAAAGCAAUAGAACUCACCCAGACACAGAAGCCAAAAGAAGUAUGGAAAAAAAAUAAUAAUUUGAGGGACUUAUGAGACAACAUCAGGCACAAUAAUAUUCACAAUAUAGGGGUCCUAGAAGCAGAAGAGCAAGAAAAGGAAGUAGACCUCAAGGUCCCGGAAGCCCAGAGAGUUGCAUAAAAGAUGAACCGGAAGAGUUCCUCACCAAGACACAUCAUUAAAAGGUGAAAAGAAAAAAGGGUAAGGAUCUUCAAAGAAAAAAACCAAAUUGUUAAGUACAAAAUUCUCAGCAGUGACUUUGCAGGCCAGAGGAGAGUCACAUGACCUAUUCCAGGUGCUGAAACGAGAAAACUUCCAACCAAGAAUACUCUACCUGGCAAGGUUGUCAUUCAGAAUUCAAGAAGAGAAUUUUCCAAGCAGGCAGAAGCUAAAGGUGUUCAUCAUCACUAAAGCAGCCUUAAGAAGAACACCACAGGGGCUUUUUUGAGCCAUAAAGGACCCUAAUAAAAAGAAAACAGAAGAAAGCAAGAAUCUGAUUGGAAAAGGUAAAUACAUAGUAAGGUAGUAGAUUGACUUAGAAAUGUACUAUGAAGGUUAAAGCGUUUAAGUGAAAAUGGACUUCAAAUACACUGUUAAAUCCACGUGAUGAUACAUGAUCCUCAUAAUAACUGAGCAAAAACUUACAGUAUAUAUACAAAAGAAAAUGAGAAAGGGAUGAAAACAUUACACUAAGUCCCCAAACAGGGAAGAUAGAGAAGGAAAGGAUGGAUAGGAGCUACGAAAACAGUCUGCAAAACUGUGAACAUAAUGGCAAAUAGAUACGUAUCAGUAAUUGCUUUAAAUGUAGAUGGAACCAGAUUCUCCAAAGACCCAAUGGCUGAAUAAUUAAAAACAAACAAAAAAAGCCCAUACACAUUCCUGUAAAAGAAGCACUUUGGGAAUAAGGACACACACAGACUAAACAUGAAGGGAUGGAGAAAGGUAUUCUGUGCAGAUGAAAAUGAAAAGUUUGGUGUGGCUUUACUCACAUUAGAUAAAACAGACUUUUAAAAAAGACUGUAAUAACAAAGAGGGGUACUACAUAAUGAUAAAGGGGUAUAUCCCAACAAGAAGAACAUUCAUACGUAGUCUAAAAUAUAGGAGUACCUACAUAGAUGAAGCAAAUAUUAGUCAUGAAGGGAGAGGUUGAUAGCCAUACAAUAGUAGGACAUGUUACUACUCCGCUCUCAUCAAUGGAUUGACCAGAUAGAAAAAUCAAUAAGGAAACUGCAGAUUUGGUGAUGAAUUCCUUCAGUUUUUUGUUUGGGAAGACCUUUUUCUCUCCUUCUAUUCUGAAUGACAGACUUGCUGAAUAAAGGAUUCUCGGCUGCAUAUUUUUUUCUGUUCAUCACAUUGAAGAUUUCCUGCCAUUCCUUUCUGGCCUGUCAAGUUUCAGUACAUAGGCCUGCCACUAGUUUUAUGGGUCUCCUUUUGUAGGUUAGAGCCUCUUUAUCCCUAGUUGCUUUCAGAAUUUUCUCUUUAUCCUUGUAUUUUGCCAGUUUCACUAUGAUAUGUCUUGCAGAAGAUCGACUCAAGUUACGUCUGAAGGGAGUU